GAUGAAGAACGCAGCAAAAUGCGAUAAGUAAUGUGAAUUGCAGAAUUCAGUGAAUCAUCGAAUCUUUGAACGCACAUUGCACCCGCUGGUAUUCCGGCGGGCAUGCCUGUUCGAGCGUCAUUUCAACCCUCAAGCCCCCGGGUUUGGUGUUGGGGAUCGGCUCUGCCCUUCUGGGCGGUGCCGCCCCCGAAAUACAUUGGCGGUCUCGCUGCAGCCUCCAUUGCGUAGUAGCUAACACCUCGCAACUGGAACGCGGCGCGGCCAUGCCGUAAAACCCCAACUUCUGAAUGUUGACCUCGGAUCAGGUAGGAAUACCCGCUGAACUUAAGCAUAUCAAUAAGCGGAGGA
rnacentral:misc_RNA from 1 species